rnacentral:lncRNA from 1 species
CUUGCUAGUAGUAAAAAUAUAAGUGCUAAUAAUUUUUGUCAUCUGUAGCCUCAUUCUUAUCAGUGGUGUUUACAGGGCCGACUUUAGAGAUUUGGGUGCUCUAGACGAUUUUUGAAACUGAUGCUCCUAUUUUUUCAAGAUCAUAAAUGAAAAUUUUACUUACAUUCAAAUCAAUAUACAAUGACCAUACAAAAAAAAAAAGUUCAAUAUACAAUAAAAUCAUAUAAAUAUUGGUUUAAGAUUAACACAAUCAAUUCAAAUGCAUGUAAAUAUAUAAAUACAAAAAUUUAUCAUUAAAUACUACAUAUGCAUGAAUUUGUUGAUGUCCUAGGAUAGUGUGUCCAAGAUCCGUUGAGAGAUUUAAGAGUCAUCCAGAUAGUUCACAACCUUCGUGACAACAACCAUAAUCUGCAACGUACUUCCGAAAGCCAUAGUUAUUGCUCUCCAAACACUAACCAUAGAUUAGGACACUCUUGGGGGCAUGGCCCUGAUGUAGCUCUGUUGUAGACUGAUAUAUAAUACAGAACAUCAGAGCCCGUUUUGGUGUGUGGAAAAACUAAACCUUACUCCCAGAGGCGGAUCUUAGAAGGGGUAAGAGGGGGCAACUGACCCCCCUUAAUUUUUAUUUUUUUUAAUAUUAUACAUAUUUUUAGGUUGUAAAAUUGAAAUUGACCCCCUUAAUUUUUUUGUGACCCCUUUUAUUUUUUUUUACAAAAAAAUUGACCCCCCUUAACUUUAUAGUCAGAUCCGCCACUGCUUACUCCGUUAUUUAGAAACGCUAAUAAACUUACUGGUGUAGGAAAUGACAAAUAUGAGAAAGAAAAAUGCUCAUACUACAAGAUUAUUAUUAUAAUAAUUGUCCAAUAGUUAGAGAGCUGAAGUCAAGCUAUAUUUGUUUUUCAUAAAUUUGGUCACAAAAGAUGUGUCGUUUUUGUAUAAUUAAGAAGUAGUUAUUUGGUAGUUAUCUAUUCUGUUUUGAGAAUCGAAUCCAACCACAGUUUAUUGGGAGUAUGGAUAAACUGAAGGUUCUCAUUGUCACAAAUUAUGGGUCUUCCUUCUCUAAGCUAGACAACUUUUAUUGUCUUGGAAGUUUACCCAUUCUAAGGUGAAUCAGAUUAGAACGAUCGAGUUUCAUUAUCUUCCCUUAACACGUCCUCAAUCGAGUUGGUGAACCUGCAGAAGAUAACUUUUACAAUGUGUGAGAUCGGCGAGGCAUUUGAGAAUGGUACUAUAUAUGGACCUCCCUCGCAUCUUCCCUAAUCAUCUGGAACUUGAGAUUGACUGUUGUGAUGACUUGAUGAAAUUGCAUGCUGGAAUCUGUAAUGUUGUCAGUCUUAAGAAGAUCUGCAUCACUUACUGCAAUGAGCUAUCUUUGCUUCCAGAGGAGAUCGGCAGGCUCAGAAAUCUUGAAGUCUUGAGGCUCAAUUCUUGUACAAAGCUAUUAGAGUUGCCAGAGUCAAUUGGAAACCUCCAAAAAUUAACAGUUCUUGAUAUAUCUGAUUGCUUAAGCAUAAGUAAUUUGCCUAGAACAGUAGGUGAGUUGUGUGCUUUAAAAAAGUUCCACAUGAGAGGUUGCGAAGGAUUGUCAGACCUACAUAAGCUUCCCUCAUCUGUAAAAGAUCUGACGCUAUUAGAGAAGGUGAUAUGUGAUGAAGAAGCUAGUCAUCUAUGGAAAACAUAUCGAAGCCAUUUGAAAAAUCUGGUAGUCGAAGAGGUAAAAGAAGAUGCAUUUGAAAGCCUUAUGAGGGUCAUCUAACCAAUUCAGCAUUGUUGACACAGCAAAAGAAUGUUGUACAGCGUUUAGAUUUCUGAAAUCAGAACUUCUGAUUGUAUACUACUGGCAAGUGGCAACACUUGGGUUUUCAUUGUUAUUCAUAGAUAUGUGUAAAUUCUAUAGAGUGUAGUAACAUGUCAUUCAGAAAAUCUCCAGGUUUCCAGAUGCUAAUGUAUUUAAAGUUGGUUAAAGACACAUAUCCAUGUAAGCUUGAAAAGUACGUCAAUAAUUAGUUCUCUUGUGUUGGGACAGGAACUCAAUGUGGUGCAUGCAAUUGAAACUUUUGUUUUUGGUUGAGCUAUGAUUUGGUUUGUUAUUCACAUAAUUAUCCUGUUCUCUAUUUUGUCAGAAUUGGUUUUAUUAAGUUUGUAAGAAUGUAAGUGCAUUUGCUCAAUUUAGUGUCUUUGAUUCAAGUGUGAAAGUCCAUGCCUUCUCGAGCUUUUAGCAUAAACGUUCCGUGACCAAGCCGCUUAAGAGGGAGUGAGGGACAGUCCGAGAAAGAAAUUAUAACAUCCAGUCCACAACCAUAUGUAUAUAUAUCCGUUUAUUGACUCGUAGUAUCUAUUAAUGGUUUAAAGCUAUCCCUUAUUGUAGAUUCGAAGUCCGAAUUCACACACAAACUUCUAGAAUCUGGUGUCUCUGCACUUCCAGCUGGACCAAAUUCUCAUACUCUCUCCGUCUCAAUUUAUAGGUCCCUUUUGGACAAAAAAUUUGUCCCACAAUACUUGUCCCUCUCUUUUUUCAAUACAAAUUUAUUUCUAUAUUAAUUAUAAAUUUUUUGAAACUCAACAUUAUUCUCAUUUCUCAAUGCACUAAAUCUCUAUAUUUAUUGUGAUUUUUUUGAAACUCAAUUAUAUUCUCCCUUAUCAAUGUACUAAUUAAUGAUAUAUGAGAUAAAAUUAUAUCUAAUCAACUACUUUUUUCUUAAUAUGCGUGUUUAUUCCAAAAAGGACCUAUAAAUUGAGACGGGGAGUACCAUUUAUAAUAUACAAGCCAAGCUCACAAUUAGAUACGUACAGGGUCCCGACAAACCAACAAACCAUCACAAGUCGAUCUAAAAUUAAUCAGAGGUUUGCCCAAAAUUUUAGUAAAUUCUACAUCCGUUAUUAACUUGUAUCUAUACAAACUUCUUAUUCUAAACGGUGUCCAUGUUACAGAAAUGCUCACAAAUGUUUAUUAUGAAAGACGCUAGAGGACUAACUUCGCAGAAAGCCAUUCCUUUUAUUACAUCGUAUCUGACUGUACCCCCUUGAAAUGUAUUGGCAUUUUUAGUUUGUAUAGUAUUUUUUUUCCUUCUCAGUUUGAUAACUCAAAUUUAUGAGUAAAAUUGGAUGUGAUAUGAUAUAGAUGGUACAUUACAUCUGACAUGUUUUAAAUUUGAAAACAGAUUUACGUGUUCAACUUCGCUGUAAUGAACCCAUAAGUGAAGAAUUCCCUUCAGCCAAAUUCAUAUGUGAUGUAUGAAUCACAAUAAUAGUUGCCAGCAGUGUGAUCGCCAAUGUGCUCUACUUUGCAAAACAUUUCAAAAUUCUUCAAAGGUGAUGUUGAAGAUUGCGUGUUUGGUAAAGUUUUCCAUAAAAUUCAACGCCGAUGUCUUGUACAUACAAGUUACUCCCUCCGUCGUUUUCCUAGAUCUUUUGGUUGUCACUUUUUAACGUAAUUUAAUGUGAUUAAAAGGUAUAUUUUCAUAUUUUUUUUAAAUUAAAAUUUAUAGUUUAUAUUUUAUUCAUAAAAAUAUUUUAAGAAUAAUAAAUAAAAAUAUAUUUUUAAUUAUUUUAAAUUACAUGUAAAAUGUUAGAAUGACAGGUGAAAAAGAACUUAUAAUAUAUAAAAGUCAUGCCGACUAGCCAUAACAAAGUCCUUCUUCACAUUGACAUUUAUCUCAACUCCAAGAAGCCUGCCAGGAUUUCUUCUUCACCGACCUUGAAAUUUUUGAUGAGCUCGUUUAUUAUGUUUGUUGCUUUCGACAACAUAAAUUUUCCAUAGAUUUCACCGUAAAUGUAAUAUCUUAAAGUAAAAUUCUGGAUAAAAUCAUUAUUGCGUUUGGUAUUUUCGUCAAACCAUNAAAUUAGAUAUUAAAAUUAUAAGAUAUAAUAUAUAUAUAUAUAUAUAUAUAUAUAUAUAUAUAUAUAUAUAUAUAUAUAUAUAUAUUUUCAUAUCAUAAACAUAUCUUAGUUUAAAUAUUAUUGCACAAAGUAAAUUCAUAUAUUUAAUUAGCUAAUAAUAUACCCUCAGUGUUUGAUUCAGCUUCUUUUCUCAUGUAUUCACUUAUUCCACCCAUUUGUUUAUAUAUACCGGACACCAAAACUAAUAAAAUUAUAUAUAUAUAUAUAUAUAUAUAUAUAUAUAUAAUAUAUAUAGUUAAGUUCUAUGGAGUACAAAAAAAAUUGGAGUAUUGGAGUACAAAGUUUGAUAAAAUGUAAUCUAGUCAUCUAAAUUUCAAUUUUUUUUGUCCAAUAAUAUUUGUAAAUAUUUGACAACCUGCACAUUAUGUUCUGCAACAUAAACAUCGUGAUCAAAUGGUAGAAUAAUUACUUUUAUAAAUCAUAGGACUCUAUGUUCUGCAAUAUAACUAAUAAGCAGAACAAUAAUCUUAAUACUUGUUAAAGUUGAAAGAUAUUAAUGAUUAAUUGACAAUUAUGUGCAAGACAACUUAUAAAUGAUAGAUUAUAUCAAAAUUUGGAUAAUCAAAGAUAUUAUAUAGGAUCAAACUAAAAAAUUAUGAUUUGUACUCCAAUACUCCAAUGUUUUUAUGUACUCCAUAGAACUUAACUCAUAUAUAUAUAUAUUAUAGAUUUAGUUAAUUUUAACCUAUCUUUCUCUUUGUUUUUUUUACUUUUUUAUCCUAUUCAAUUGUUUAUAUUUAUGCACGACGAUUCGUAAAAUUUUACAAAAUAGCAUAAAAUCGAAAGAAAAGUUUAUUAAUGAAAUGUUUAUCUGAUAGAUUAAAAAAAAUGAAACAAAACAGUGGAUGAGAUUAAUUUUUUUUUUUUUUUUUGCUAGUUGAUGAGAUUAAUUUUUGUAUUAUAUUCUUUCCAUCUUUUAUAUGAAACCAUGACUAUUAAAACAUACUUUCAAGUGAUUUAAUUGCAUAAUUAUUUUUUUUACAAAUGUUUUUGUGUAUAAAGAUACAUAAUAAAAAAUUUAAUUAAAAAAAGUCAAAAUUUAUUAUUUUUAUUAAUCAUUCAAAGCACUUAAUAAGUGUAAAAACGGAGAGAAUAAAAGCUAAUAUUUUAGUCAAAUGUUAAGAAUUUAACAGAAAAUUAAGAAAAAAAAUGUAAAGAAUUUCGAGACAACAAGUAUUAUUCUAAUUGUCCAAUACUAAGAGAGUUGAAGUCAAGCUAUAUUUAUUUUUCUUAAAUUAGCCUUGUGUAAUUAAGAAGUAGUUAUAUGUUAAUUAUAUAUUUUGUUUUGAGAGUCGACUCUCGCAAUUAGACUUUUAGUUCUCAUUUUUUUGAAUUUUCAUCCUCUCAUCAAUUAAGCCUUCUUCCCCGUAUCAUCAUUUUUCUAUUUAUCAGCUUUUCAAUAAAACUAAAAUCUAUUUUUUUAUUUUUUUUGGUGAGAUCUUAUUAAAUACCUUGUUAUCAAGGUUGUAGUGGUCCCAUAUUUUUGAGAAGUUAGUAUGCUAUGUUUUGAAAUUUUGUUUAUCGUUUAUGAAUUUUUCUGAAAAGGAUUUAUAAGAUUUUUUCGGUGAUUUAUAAUACUCGUAUUGAUUCUAGGUAGGUGAUGAAUAUGGCAAGAGCACAUUUUUUGCAACAAAAAUGUAUGGGGGUCAUAUAGUCACUUUUAAUUGUCAUAGUAUUUUCAUAAAUAUUCUUAAAAGUUAUAAAAUUACAAAAAAGUUAAAAAAACAUAGUAUUUGAUAAGCUCCUUUAUAAUAUCAAUUUUGUUAACAUAUAUAAAUUUUAAUUUAAUUCCUAAUUUAAAAGUUAAAUUAUUAUUUCUUAUAUCUCCCCUUUCUUUUCCCCGAAAACUUUAAUUAUGUAAUAUAUCUAAAAGCAAUAACAAACAAACUGAGAUAGACAUCUUUGUUUCAAAUAUGCAUUAUUGGUACUUUAAUUUUUUUUUUUAGAAAAUCAAUAUUUUGAGUGUAUAAAAUUUCAAAAGGAUUAGAUUUACUUUUUAUAAUAUAUCCUCUUUAUGUGACAAAUUUGUUUUAUUUAUAUAGACAGAUGUGCUUUGUCUGUUUUCUUAAAACAGGGCAAGGAAAUAUUACAUCCACGUAAAAAAUUUCUUAAAAUUUAGUCAAAUUUAUCCAUAAAUAUACAUAACUCCAAGGUCAAUAACCGUUGUGAAAGUACGACACUAUACUGGUUUAAUGGAGAGUAUAUCACAUGCAACCUGAAGUCUAAACGAUCUCAAUCGCUUGGGUCACAUAAUUAUCACAAAAGUCAAAAAUCAUGAAUCAUCUUUACAACAUUGGGAUCCGCUGUACAUCUAAAGAACAUACUUUUACUCGUAUUACUUAAAAAAGUUAUUUUUCACUUAUAAAUAAAAUUUCACUAAUUAUAAGAAAUAAACUCUUGUUUUAAAUUAAACUAAACUAAACGACUCCUUAGAUAAAUUUAUAGACAGUUUUUAUACUUUUAUAGAAUGCAAUGAAAUGCAGGUUGAACAAAAUGUUUAUAUUAAAUGUUAAUUAGAUUAAAUAUAACGAGUUUAUGAGUUUUUGAAAUUAAGUUCUAAUUACAUUCAUAUUUAGGUUUAAAAAAGUAGUAUAGAUGUUAAUCUUUAAAUUAUACUGUGUUAAUUAUCUAAUCAAAGUAUCUCUUUUGAUUAGAAUUUAAUUUAUUAAAUUAGUGUAGGUUAAUUAAUGUUCUUACACUUUUUUGUUAAUAUUCCAGGAUAUUAUUAGUUCUACUCUCAUAUGUAAAUAUUUUAUUAUCAAAAUGUUCAAAAAUACUUUUUAAUGUGAAUCCGUUAUAUGAUAUUCAUCUUGAACGAAAAACCUCUUUCUUUAUAAAUAAUUGAUUCACGUGAAAAUGAUUAAAUGAUCAAAGAAAGACGGAAGAUUUGCCGACCAAAGAAACCGAGACGUGUAAAUUGUAGUAACGUUGUUUGACUUUAUCUUACGCAUUCUUCUGUCGAUUCCAGAAACAGAAAGGUCAAUUAUUGGCGGGGCACUAGUCACAUUUGUAUGAUAGUGUCACUAUUCGAUAAGCUUCAUUUAGAAAUUACAAAAUCUGCCGACUCCUUGCUCUGCAAUUGGGGUCCCUUCGUGGUUUCCCCUCAAACUUCCAAAAUGCAUUCACAAUUAUAAUUUAUGUACGUUAACACCUUCAAACUCAAAAUAAGUAUAUUAAUUAAAUUUAUUUCAAAAAAAAAAGAAAAAAAGUAUAUUAAUUAAAUAAUACUUCUUUAAUUGAUUAAUUUUGUUAUAAAAAAUAAUAACUUAUAAAACAUGUAUUGGUGAUUUAUAAUAGUAUAUAUAUACUCCUUACGUUUGGUUUGGGAAUGGAGAUUAAGAAAUAAGUGUAAAGUAGUGGAAAAGAGAAAGAAAAAUGUAUGAUGUGGUGAGAGCUAUUGAUUUUUAAUGUAUAAAAGAGAGAUAGGGGAGUAAAAGUGAUGUAAAAAUGGAGGAAAAAUGAGUAAGUGAUGGAACCCAUUGAUUAUUUUUGGUAAGGUUUGAAAUGUAUGGGACAUCCUAAAAAGGAAACGGUAAAGAAAUGAUUAGCACAUGAGGGAGUAUAUUUUUUUAUUAAAUAUAUUGAAUAUUUAUUUUUAUUUUGAAGAUAAAAUUAUGUUCAAGUAAUAUGAAUCUUUAAGUUUCUUUUUUUUGAAGUAAUAAAUCUUUAAGUUAAGAUAGUUUUUUAAUAAAUAAUAAAUGUGUGGUUAAUAUUUUUAUAUAUGUUAAACAAAUAUUUUCAUGUAACAUAUUAAGUAAAUUCUUAAUAUUUUUUUUUUGAUAAAAAAGAAUCAAUUCAUUAAUCAAAAGCCAUAGACAAUCUACAAAUAUAAUCAAAAUUGGACAAACGCUAAAUUAUAUCACUGUUGAAAUUUUCUUUGUUGGAGAGAUAACUAGCUUUGAAAAUGAUUUAAAAUAUAUGUACUUUUUUCACCCAAUUGAUUUUCACUCGACUAUUCUCAAUAAUCAACCAUAAAUACGAUUUCAUAAUAACCUUCGAAUCUAAAUAAACUCAUGAAAAUCAUGCUGAUAUAUAACCUUGGUAGGGAGAACAUCGAAACACACCAAACCGAAAAUCAACAUAAAAUUCAAAUAAAUUGAGAACUCAUUGAAAGGUAACCAAGAUUUCAAACAAGAAAACGGAAAAAAAAAAUUGAGACGGGCGAAAACCGAUGGAAGUCCCUUCAAAUUUUUUUAAUGGAAGCUAGGGUUUGAGGGAGUGAGAGUUGGGAAUGAUACGAAGGAAGUUAGUAUAUAAAUUCUUAAUAUUUAAACCCGUUAAGAAGAUUGAUCCUAAGAAAUAUGAUAACUGGGAACAUUUCUAUGAGUUCUAAUAAUAAUGAUUAUUAAACAGAUUCAAUUAAACAUGUUACAAAUUGAAUAGGUUCGUAUAUAUAUCCAUGUACCCUAAUAAAUUCAGCUAAAUCUGUAGUAGUUGUUUUUGUGUAAUUCUAGUUCAUAAAAUUACUGGGCAGAUUGGUUACAGCUUACUUUGUCUGUGGUCAGUAAUGAAUACAUGCCCUGCUUUAGUAACGUAAUUUUGCGAUUAAUAUUGUGUUAAUAGAUCAGCUCUUCUUUUAAGAGUUGUGUUAAUAGAGCAUAUUAAUGAUUAUAGUAUUUGUCAACCAGCACUCAAUUCCAACUGAGAAAAUAACUCUGUGACAGCUUAAGAAGUUGAAAAUAAUUCAAAUACAUAGCUCCAACUUUAAACAACAGUAAAACAUAUAGUCAUAGAGUGCAAGUGUGCACGAACAUGCAGACAUUAUUAACUAAGGAACAACAGGAGUUGCUACAGCACGAAGCGGGUGAAGCUUGGCCAGAGUGAUCCCAAACUUAUCCUCCAUGUCCAAAUCUCCUGGUGCAAUCCCACCUUCAAGUUUCCAGUCAAAACAAUUUAUGAGGGAUCCCACCAUCAUGGGCACCAUUCUCAUAGCCAGGGGCAAUCCAGGACAUUUCCUGCGACCCGCGCCAAAGGGAAUCAGCUCGAGAUCAUGCCCAUACACAUCAACUUUGGAGUCCAUGAAUCUCUCUGGCUGGAAUGACAGUGGAUUUUCCCAUAGCGUGGGAUCGCGUCCGAAAGCCCAUACAUUCACCAGCACUUGAGAAUUCUUGGGAAUUAUAUAGCCACUUAAUUCAACAUCUUCUGUCACUUGGCGUGGUAGUAAGAAGGGAACUGGUGGGUGCAACCUUGCACUCUCUUUCACAAUGCAUUGCAAAUAAGUCAACUUAGAAAUGUCUGCUUCUUCUACCAUCUUGCCUUUUCCGAUCACUUGAUUCAGCUCAGCUUUCGCCUUGGCCAAUACCGUUUCUGGUUUUCUUAAGACCUCAGCCAUCGCCCAUUCCACUGUACCUGAAGUCGUAUCUGUUCCUGCAAUGAACAAAUCCUGCCCAAGUAUAUAAUUGUUAGAAUACUGAUAAGUACUCCUCCUAGCACUUUCAGAUUUUCGAAGAAUCGAUUACAUAACAUGGUAUCAGAGCUCUCUUAUAUACUCCCUCCGUCCCAGCCAAUUGUAGCCAAUUGUUUACGUUCGGUUUGGGCACGGAGGUUAAGAAAUAUGUAAGUAGUAAAAAAGAGAAAGAAAAGUGGGUAAAAUAGUGGGACCUAUUAAUUUUUAAUGUAUGAAAGGGAGAUAGCGUUAAGAAAUAUGUAAGUAGUAAAAAAGAGAAAGAAAAGUGGGUAAAAUGGUGGGACCCAUUAAUUUUUAACGUAUAAAAGGGAGAUAGCGGAAUAAAAGUAGCGUGAAAACGGAGGAAAGAUUGGGACAUGAUUGGACCCAUAUUUUUGGUAAGUUUUGUAAUAUAAAGAACUGGAAAAGACAUCCCAAAAAGGAAACCGUAAAUAAUCUGGUGGGACGGAGGAGUAUACUAUAGAACAAAUCACUUAUAUACACAAGGAAAAAUUAUCUUACAGUGAGCAAGUGAUUGGCGUGUCGUUUCUCAAUUUCAUUUGUUCGCAACAAUUUUAACAGUUCGUCCAGCACAUCUGUACUAGUACUGUCCUCAGAGUCCCCCAACUUCUUUAGCUCCAAACGCUCAUUUACCAUACCAUCAAACAACUUGAUUACCUUUCCAAAACCAACACUUGAUCGUCCUCUGAUACCUUGAGGAUCGAAAGACCUAAGAAUAGGAAAAUAAUCCACAAAAUUAGGCGUACCUGCCUCCUUCAUAAUAUUCCACACCGUGUCCUUAAACUCCUUAGUGUCACUCCCAUGAUACGGAUCUGCCAUAUCCUUGGAAAACAUGGUAUUCGACAAAAGAUUAAGCGCAGUCUGAAACGCAGCACAACCAAUAUCUACAGCCUCCCCCCUUUCGCUACACUUAUUAACGUAACCAACAAGCUCCUGCACCUUGUUCAUUCGAAGAUGAUGACUUGCAUCCAGCUUGCUUGUAGUAAAAAUAUGAGAGCUCAUAAUUUUUCUUAGAUUCCUCCACUGACUUCCAACAGGCAACCAUGCAACCGAGGACUUGAAAUGGUCGCGAGCACGUAUAGCAUCGGGCAGGGGCCGAGUAGAGAAGGCCAGGUCUUGCUUUUGCAGGACUUCUCGAGCUGCAGUCGGUGAAGUGAUCACUAUGGUGGUUAUACGUCCCAGUCUUAGACUCAUGAUCGGGCCGUAAACCUUAGCCAGUUUGGCUAAGGAUUUAUGCGGUUGUUUGCCGAGGUGGUGUAUAUUUCCUAUUAGUGGCAAGGGGGAUGGUCCUGGUGGAAGCUUUUGAACAGCUUUCACAUGAUUUUUUCGUAGUAAGAAGAGUGAAAAGGCCAGCAGUAUGCACAGCAAACUGAUCAAAAAGAUCUCCAUAUGCGCUGGUUCUGGUUGAACCUUGACGAAGGGUUAAUAUACUGAUAAAAAUAGGAAGAUAUGGGUUGGGAACUUGGGAUGCUUAUGCAAUUGUGUUGGUCUCUGUUUCCAUUUAUACACAAACAUGGCCGACAGAAAAUAGAAAUGAAUGGCUCCAAUUAAAACAACCUAAAAUGUCAAUGUCCAGAAUACUGAUUAAAGAUUUUACGGCUCAAUUAUUUCUCAAAUACAUUUCGCAGGCAUAACAACCAUUUUUUAGUUAAGUAUCGGAUUUUUAUUGGUUUUAAUCUCAUUAAUAGUGAUGACGCUAUUUGUGAUAGCUGUCUUGACAUUAAUGUGAUUCCACCAAUUAAGUCCCGAUUAUCUAAUUGAUUGCUAAACGGUGAUUCAACCGAUUAAUCCUAAUUUAGGUUUUUUUACAAUACUGGUGUGGAUUUUUAUCAUCUCUAGCCUCCUCGUACAUGAAUUCUUAUCGUUUGUGUUUACAAGGCCGAAUCUAGAAAUUUGGGUGCUCUAAACCAUUUUUGAAACUGGUGCCCUUAUUUUUCAAGAUCGUAAAUGAAAAUUUUACAUACAUUUAAAUUCAAUAUACAAAGAAAUCAUAAAAACAUUGGUUUAGGAUUAACAUAAUCAAUUCAAAUGCAUGUAAAUAUAUAAAUACAUAAAUAUAUCAUUAUAUACUACAUAUGUAUAGAUUUUUUAAUGCCCUGAGAUAGUGAUGGUCAAGACGUUCGUCUUGGUAUGCCGACCAAGGGCCAUUCCUGUGUGUUUCUAGUGAGGGAUUUAAGAGUCAACCAGAUAGUUCACAACCUGGUUGGUGACCAAAGACCAUUCCUGGAUGUUUCUGUUGAGAGAUUUAAGAGUCAGCCAGAUAGUUCACAACCUUCGUAACAACCAUAAUCUGCAACGUACUUCUGAAAGCCAUGGCCAUUGCUCUCCAAACACUAACCAUAAAUUAGGACAAUCUUGGGGGCAUGGCCCUGAUAUAGCUCUGUUGUAGACUGAUAUAUAUAUAUAUAUAUUAAUACAGAACAUCACAGCCCGUUUUGGUGUGUAAAAAACUAAACCUCACUCCUUAAUUUGAAAACGCUAAUAAACUUAAGGUUUGUCUAGUAUGUGCCAUGAGACUGAAUUCUAUAAAUUUGGGACAUUUUGAUUGGUGUGUUUAUUGUAUUUGCAUGGGUUCCACAAAUAAUAAGAAAUAGGAGCCAAUUAAAAUGAGUAAAACUUGUAAUUUCUAGUGUUUAGCAUGUGCCAUGAGCACACUGGAAAAACCGAUAAACUUAUUGGUGUAGAAAAUGGCAAAUGAGAAAACAAUCAAAGUGACUGCAACCAAACUGUCUUGGACCAUUGUCAGAUCUAGAAGAUUGUGACAUGUAUAUUAUAUUAUUAAAUCCCAAAAUUUUUUGUCAGUAUUUGGGUAAAAUUAUGAGCUUAUUUAUAUAAUAAAAAACUAAUUUUUAUAUUUCCUAACUAAAAAAAAUUCAAAUUUUUAAUAAUAAUAUUGGACAACAUAGCAAUUAACUUUUUUAACAAAAUCAGAUUCCUAACUAAAAACUCGAUUUCUAAAAAUAACACAUGCAAUAUACAUUAAAAAAUGAAAUAUUAUUAUAUAUAAUUAUUAAUAUACAACUAAUGAUAUAUUUCAACUAAUGUUAUUUUUAAUUACUCCAUGUUAUCAAUUUAAUAUCAUGGAUCCAUACAAUCCAUUUAUACUAUCCUGUACAAUAAUAAUAAUAUUAUUAUUAUCAUCAUUAUUAUUUUUAUAUUAAAAAUGAAAUAUUAAUAAUUUAAUUGGUUAGUCGAAUUUUAUCUGCCGACUAGUAUUAUUCAUAUGGGUCUCCUUAAUAUAUAAUGUUUCCAAUAAAUCAUUUUAUUAUAAAUAAAGCCAAAAAUUUUAAAAAUUCGGUUAAUAUGAUCGAUUUGUAUGUCAAUUAAAUUUAAACUAUAGAAGACAAAUUUAUAGAUGUUAAAAAUCACUAUACGGGUUAUAAGCUGGUGAUGAUUAAAAAGCAAUUAUUAAAAGUAUAAUUUUUAAACAAUGAUAAACAUACAGUCUUAGAGUGGCAUGUAAAAAAAAGUAGUCGUCACGGAACAACAAGAGUUGCUAGAGCACGAAGGGGAUGAAGCUUGGCCAGAGUGAUCCCGAACUUAUCCUCCAUGUCCAACUCCCCUGCUGCAAUAUCACCUUCAAGUUCCCAGUCAAAACAAUUUAUGAGGGAUCCCACCAUGAUGGGCACCAUCCUCAUGGCCAGGGGCAAUCCAGGACAUUUCCUUCGACCCGCGCCAAAUGGAAUCAGCUCGAGAUCAUGCCCAUACACAUCAACUUUGGAGUCCGUGAAUCUCUCCGGCUGGAAUGACAGUGGAUUUUCCCAUAGGGCAGGAUCGCGCCCAAAAGACCAUACAUUCACCAGCACUUGCGAAUUUUUGGGAAUUAUAUAGCCACUUAAUUCAACAUCUUCUGUCACUUGGCGUGGUAGCAAGAAGGGAACCGGUGGGUGCAACCUUGCACUCUCUUUCACAAUGCAUUGCAAAUAAGUCAACUUAGAAAUGUCUGCUUCUUCUACUAUCUUGCCUUUUCCGAUCACUUGAUUCAGCUCAGCUUUCGCCCUGGCCAAUACUGUUUCCGAUUUCUUUAAUACCUCAGCCAUCGCCCAUUCCACUGUACUUGAAGUCGUCUCUGUUCCUGCAACGAACAAGUCCUGUCCAAGUAUAUAAUUUGUGACUUUAAUCAAUUCGGAUAUCAUGAUUUGUAUGAUUAUGACAAAAAAGCAAUUGACAAAAAUCCUUAUAUAUCCUAUAGAACAAAUCACUUAUUAUCUUACCGUGAACAAGUGAUUGGUGUGUCGUCUGUCAAUUUCAUUUGUUCGCAACAAUUUCAGCAGUUCGUCGAGCACAUCUAUACUAAGAUUGUCCUCAGAGUCCCCCAAUUUCUUCAGCUCCAAACGCUCAUUUACCAUACCAUCAAACAACUUGAUUAACUUUCGAAAAUGAACACUUGUUCGUCGUUUAAUACCUUGAGGAUCGAUAGACCUAAGAAUAGGAAAAUAAUCCGCAAAAUUAGGCUUACCGGACUCCAUCAUAAUGCUCCACACCGUGUCCUUAAACUCCCUAGCUACAUUCCCAUGAUACGGAUCUGCGAUAUCCUUGGAAAACAUGGUAUUAGACAAAAGAUUAAGCGCGGUCUGAAAUGCAGCACAACCAAUAUCUACAGCCUCCCCCCUUUCGCUACACUUACUAACGUAACCAACAAGCUCCUGCACCUUGUUCGUUCGAAGAUGAUGACUUGCAUCCAGCUUGCUAGUAGUAAAAAUAUACGAGCUCAUAAUUUUUCUUAGGCUCCUCCACUGAUUUCCAACAGGCAACCAUGUAACCGAGGACUUGAAAUGGUCGCAAGCACGUAUAGCAUCGGGUUGGGUCCGAGUAGAGAAGGCCAGGUCUUGCUUUUGGAGGACUUCUCGAGCUGCAGUCGGUGAAGAGAUGACUAUGGUGGUUAUGCGUCCCAGUCUUAGACUCAUGAUCGGACCGUAAACAUGAGCCAGGUUGGCUAGUGAUUUAUGCGGGUGUUUGCCGAGAUUGUGUAUAUUUCCUAUGAGUGGCAAUGGGGAGGGUCCUGGUGGAAGCUUUUGAACAGCUUUGACAUUGUUUCUUUGUAGUAAGAAGAGUGAAAAG